rnacentral:tRNA from 1 species
GAGUGCGCAGCUAUGUGGCCUUAGCUUUGCAAAAGCUAUUGAGAAUGUUUAUUCCGUACUUU